GGCAGCGCAGGAGGCGGCGGGGGCGCAGGCUCGCGCGGCGCCAGCUGAUACCAUGGGCGGCGCGCACCAGCCCGCUACUCCAGGGCCCAGCUCACUCUUUAUAUUUGCCGACGAAAAUCCUAUUCGGAGGUACACAAAGUUCAUCAUCGAGUGGCCGCCCUUCGAGUACGCGGUGCUGCUUACCAUCAUCGCCAACUGCGUGGUGCUGGCGCUGGAGGAGCAUUUGCCUAACGGCGAUAAGACCAUCUUAGCACAGAAUCUGGAAAAGACCGAGGCGUACUUUUUAGGAAUAUUUUGUGUAGAAGCCUCGUUAAAAAUCUUAGCCUUAGGUUUUGUUUUACACAGGGGAUCGUAUCUUAGGAACGUUUGGAACAUCAUGGAUUUUUUCGUUGUAGUAACUGGUAUCAUCACGCAGCUGCCGAUCGCGCCAGCCGACGUCGACUUCAGGACCUUGCGUGCCAUUAGGGUGCUGAGGCCCCUUAAAUUAGUAUCGGGCGUUCCUAGUCUGCAAGUGGUACUGAAGUCCAUCAUAAAGGCGAUGGCGCCGUUGCUGCAGAUCGGCCUCUUGGUGCUUUUCGCGAUAGUCAUCUUCGCUAUUAUCGGCCUCGAGUUCUACUCAGGGGCGCUGCAUAAGACUUGUUAUAAUUUAGAAGAUAUUAGUGAAAUAGUAAAUGAAGGCGAUAGUGCGACGCCGUGUAACGCGGACAACGUGAGUUUAGCACCAUUUGGCGCGAACGUGUGUGAUUAUGAGAAGAGCACGUGCUUAGAGAAGUGGGAAGGGCCGAACAGGGGCAUUACGUCCUUCGACAACAUCGGCUUCGCUAUGCUCACCGUCUUCCAGUGCAUUACCAUGGAGGGCUGGACCGCAAUCCUCUAUUGGACAAAUGACGCUCUAGGUAGUGCGUUCAACUGGAUUUACUUUGUGCCUCUCAUAGUAUUGGGUUCAUUCUUUAUGCUCAACUUAGUUCUCGGUGUCCUUAGCGGUGAGUUCGCUAAAGAAAGAGAGAAAGUAGAAAAUAGACAAGAAUUUCUUAAAUUAAGAAGACAGCAGCAACUUGAGAGAGAACUCAAUGGUUACGUUGAGUGGAUUUGUAAAGCAGAGGAAGUAAUAUUAGCAGAAGAGAGAACAACAGAGGAAGAAAAAAUGCACAUAAUAGAAGCACGGAGAAGAGCAGCGGCCAAAAAGAAGUUAAAAAACCUUGGUAAAAGUAAAAGCACAGAUACAGAAGAGGAAGAACAAGAUGAAGACUGCGGUGAUGACGGUUUUCUAAAAAGCAAAGCUCGGUCAGCCGGGAGGUUUGCGGACUUCUGGCGGGCUGAGAAGAGGUUUCGGUUUUGGAUCAGGCACACAGUGAAGACCCAGUGGUUCUACUGGUUCGUCAUUGUCUUGGUGCUCUUCAACACGAUAUGCGUCGCUGUAGAGCAUUAUAGACAACCCAAGUGGCUGACUUCGUUUUUAUACUAUGCCGAAUUUGUGUUCCUGGGGUUGUUCAUGAUGGAAAUGUGGGUGAAGAUGUAUGCGCUUGGGCCGCGAAUCUACUUCGAGUCGUCCUUCAACCGGUUCGACUGCGUGGUCAUCUCCGGCUCCAUCUUCGAGGUCGUGUGGUCAGAAGUCAAGGGAGGCUCCUUCGGUCUAUCUGUCCUGAGAGCUCUAAGACUGCUGAGGAUAUUCAAGGUCACCAAGUACUGGUCAUCGCUUCGGAACCUGGUGAUCUCUCUCCUCAACUCAAUGAGAUCCAUCAUCUCGCUGCUGUUCCUGCUCUUCCUGUUCAUCCUCAUCUUCGCGCUGCUUGGCAUGCAGCUGUUUGGGGGACAGUUCAACUUCGAGGACGGCACGCCGCCGACCAACUUCAACACCUUUCCUAUCGCGUUGUUAACUGUCUUCCAGAUCCUAACAGGUGAAGAUUGGAACGAAGUGAUGUAUGAUGGCAUCCAAUCUCAGGGCGGUAUCCAGAGGGGCAUGAUCUACUCUCUGUACUUUGUCAUCCUCGUCUUGUUUGGCAACUACACGCUACUGAACGUGUUCCUUGCCAUCGCUGUCGACAACUUGGCUAACGCCCAGGAAUUGACAGCGGCAGAAGAGGAACAAGUCGAGGAGGACAAGGAGAAACAGCUCCAAGAAUUGGAGAAAGAGAUGGGUGCAUUACACGCGGUGGACGGCUCUCCACCGGGAGUAGAUCUAAGUCCCUCUUCGCCGACGAGUAGGAAGAACAAAAAGAAAGAAGAGGCCAAAAAAGAAGAUGAAGAUGAGGUACCAGAUGGACCAAAACCAAUGCUGCCAUAUUCGUCCAUGUUUAUUUUGUCACCUACUAAUCCAAUUAGGCGAGGCGCACACUGGGUUGUAAAUUUAAGAUAUUUUGAUUUUUUUAUCAUGGUAGUUAUAUGUAUGAGUUCUGCGGCUUUAGCGGCUGAAGACCCCGUAGUGGAAGAGAGUGAUAGGAACAAAAUCCUGAACUACUUCGAUUACGCGUUCACGGGAGUGUUCACGGUGGAGAUGCUGCUGAAGAUCGUGGACCUCGGCAUCCUGUUCCACCCCGGCGCCUACCUGCGCGACUUGUGGAACAUCAUGGAUGCCGCCGUCGUUAUAUGCGCUCUUGUCAGCUUCGGAUUUGAGAUCGGAGGCGUGAAAAAGGGCGCGGGGCAGAAUCUGUCCACAAUAAAAUCGUUAAGAGUGUUACGAGUGCUCAGACCUUUAAAAACUAUAAAACGAGUUCCAAAGUUAAAAGCAGUGUUUGACUGUGUUGUGAACUCUUUGAAAAACGUCAUCAACAUUCUCAUUGUGUACAUAUUGUUUCAAUUCAUAUUCGCUGUAAUUGCAGUUCAACUUUUUAAUGGUAAAUUUUUUCACUGCAACGAUAUCAGUAAGAAUACUUUUGAAGACUGCCAAGGGUCGUAUUUCGUGUACGAGUCAAACAGCUUGCUGCCGAAAGUCAACCAGCGCACGUGGACGACGCAAUCCUUCCAUUACGACAACGUCGCCGUGGCCAUGCUUACGCUGUUCGCUGUGCAGACCGGAGAGGGGUGGCCACAAGUAUUACAAAAUUCAAUGGCCGCCACCUACGAAGACAGGGGACCCAUACAAAAUUUUCGAAUAGAAAUGUCCAUAUUUUAUAUCGUUUACUUCGUGGUGUUUCCUUUCUUCUUUGUUAACAUAUUCGUAGCUCUGAUAAUUAUCACAUUUCAAGAGCAGGGCGAAGCUGAGCUCCAGGAUGGUGAAAUUGAUAAGAAUCAGAAAUCGUGUAUAGACUUCACGAUAGAAGCGCGACCUCUCGAGAGGUAUAUGCCAAGCAAAAGGGCGAGUUUUAAGUACAAAGUGUGGAGAAUAGUUGUCUCUACGCCCUUCGAGUACUUCAUCAUGACGCUCAUCGUCCUCAACACAUUGUUGCUCAUGAUGAAGUUUCACGAGGCUCCACCACUACUCAUGGACAUAUUAACAUUCAUGAACCUCGUCUUUACGACCUUCUUCCUUCUCGAGACCGUAUUGAAGCUGAUCGCCUUCGGGUGUACGAAUUUUUUCAAAGACCCUUGGAAUACAUUCGAUUUCAUUACGGUCAUUGGAAGUAUUAUUGACGCCCUCAUUAUGGAGUUUGGCGAGAACACAUUCAACGUCGGUUUCCUUCGCCUGUUCCGAGCCGCGCGACUGAUCAAGCUGCUCCGACAGGGCUACACUAUUCGGAUACUGCUCUGGACCUUCGUGCAGAGUUUCAAAGCCUUACCCUACGUGUGCCUUCUCAUCGCGAUGCUAUUCUUCAUCUACGCCAUCAUUGGGAUGCAGGUGUUUGGCAAUAUAGAAUUAACACCAGAGUCUGACAUGAACAGACACAACAAUUUUCGAAGCUUCAUUCAAGCACUCAUGCUACUGUUCAGAUGCGCAACGGGCGAGUCGUGGCCCAACAUAAUGUUGGCUUGCCGCAAACCCGCCAAGUGCGACAUAGCAGCUGGAAAGGCCUCCAACGAAGAAUGUGGAAGUACGCUCGCCUACGCCUACUUCGUAUCUUUUAUAUUCUUCUGUUCGUUUCUUAUGUUGAAUUUGUUCGUUGCCGUUAUUAUGGAUAACUUUGACUAUCUAACGAGGGACUCGUCCAUCCUCGGCGCACAUCAUCUUGAUGAAUUUGUUAGAAUAUGGGCAGAAUACGACCCAAACGCCACGGGCAAGAUCCAUUAUACAGAAAUGUAUGAUAUGUUGAAGAAUAUGGAUCCGCCUCUGGGGUUUGGUAACAAAUGUCCAAAUAGACUAGCAUAUAAGAAGCUUAUUAGAAUGAAUAUGCCGCUAGACGAUGAGGGGAAAGUUAAUUUUACAACAACACUAUUUGCCUUAAUACGAGAAAACUUAAACAUCAAAAUGAGAUCUCCCGAGGAAAUGGACCAAGCAGAUGAGGAAUUAAGGGAAACAAUAACCCACAUUUGGCCAUUACAAGCGAAGAAGAUGCUCGACUUGCUGGUGCCUCGAAACGAUGUACUCAACGCUGGAAAACUGACCGUCGGGAAGAUAUACGCUGGUCUUCUUAUCCUCGAGAGUUGGAGAUCUACAAGGUUCAAGCAGAACGGUGUGCCGAAGGCGUCACUGUUUAACUGCUUGAUGGACGUGGCGGCGGGGCUGGGGCCCGGCUCGCGGGCCGGCUCGCUCAGCCACGAAGGGCCCGUCAACGCUGACGGCCAUCCGGACGACCCGCACCUGCUGGCCAACCUCGCCAGACGCGGCAACCGAAAAUCGCUCAAGAACAAUAAAAAGGUACUGGAACUACAAGGAUCACACCAUGCCUCAAUGGAGUCGUUGGACGAGGGGCGGUUACAAGCUCCUCACACAUACCAGAAUGGUCACCACCACGGGAGAUCAUCCAGUUUAAGUGUCAUCGAAGAAGAGUCCAUUGAUCUCAAAGUUAUCGUAGUGAACAAUGACGAACGCCCAGUCCAAGAAGACGAGGCCACUACGGAGGUUAUCAUCACGAUAUCGGAUUCUCAGACACCGUCAGCAACGUCGUCGAGAUAGUAAAGCAUGAACACCAGAGACACGGGCGAACGCACAGAGCUCCCCACUACUACCACCCACAUGGUGAGCGGGAGCGGGACCGCGAGUGGCGGGAGUGGCGCGACCGGUCGUGGGAGCGCGAGGGCGCGCGGCGCGGCCGCGGCCGGCAGCUGCCCCCCACGCCCACCAAGCCGUCCACGCUACAGGUCAAGCAGCAGCC
rnacentral:misc_RNA from 1 species